rnacentral:rRNA from 1 species
GACAGAGGGUGCAAACGUUGUUCGGAAUUACUGGGCGUAAAGCGUGUGUAGGCGGCCACGUACGUCGGAUGUGAAAGCCCCGGGCUCAACCCGGGAAGUGCACUCGAUACUGCGUGGCUUGAGUACUGGAGAGGUUGGUGGAAUUCUCGGUGUAGAGGUGAAAUUCGUAGAUAUCGAGAGGAACACCGGUGGCGAAGGCGGCCAACUGGACAGAUACUGACGCUGAGACACGAAAGCGUGGGGAGCAAACAGG